UACAGAGGUCUCAAGCGUUGUUCGGAUUCAUUGGGCGUAAAGGGUGCGUAGGUGGCGCCGUAAGUCGGGUGUGAAAUUUCGGAGCUUAACUCCGAAACUGCAUUCGAUACUGCGGUGCUUGAGGACUGGAGAGGAGACUGGAAUUCCCGGUGUAGCGGUGAAAUGUGUAGAGAUCGGGAGGAACACCGGUGGCGAAGGCGGGUCUCUGGGCAAUUCCUGACGCUGAGGCGCGAAAGCGUGGGGAGCAAACGGG
rnacentral:rRNA from 1 species